CCGGCGACCGGCGCACGGGUGAGUAACACGUAUGCAACCUGCCCGUGGCAGGGGGAUAAGCGGGGGAAACCCCGUCUAAUACCGCGUAACGCGGCCUUGGGGCAUCCCAAGGCCGCCAAAGGGAGCAAUCCCGGCCACGGAUGGGCAUGCGGCGCAUUAGCUAGUCGGCGGGGUAACGGCCCACCGAGGCGACGAUGCGUAGGGGUUCUGAGAGGAAGGCCCCUCACACUGGUACUGAGACACGGACCAGACUCCUACGGAAGGCAGCAG
rnacentral:rRNA from 1 species